AAACCAACAGGGAUUGCCCCAGUAACGGCGAGUGAAGCGGCAACAGCUCAAAUUUGAAAUCUGGCCCUCGGGUCCGAGUUGUAAUUUGUAGAGGAUGCUUUUGGCGCGGUGCCUUCCGAGUUCCCUGGAACGGGACGCCUUAGAGGGUGAGAGCCCCGUACGGUUGGACACCAAGCCUCUGUAAAGCUCCUUCGACGAGUCGAGUAGUUUGGGAAUGCUGCUCUAAAUGGGAGGUAAAUUUCUUCUAAAGCUAAAUAUUGGCCAGAGACCGAUAGCGCACAAGUAGAGUGAUCGAAAGAUGAAAAGCACUUUGAAAAGAGGGUUAAAUAGCACGUGAAAUUGUUGAAAGGGAAGCGUUUGCGACCAGACCUUUUCCUAGCGGAUCAUCCGGUGUUCUCACCGGUGCACUUCGCUAGGUCGAGGCCAGCAUCGGUUUUCGUAGGGGGAUAAAAGCCCUGGGAACGUAGCUCCUCCGGGAGUGUUAUAGCCCUCUGCAUAAUACCCUUACGGGGACCGAGGACCGCGCUUUUAGCAAGGAUGCUGGCGUAAUGGUCGUCAACGAC
rnacentral:rRNA from 2 species